AAACCUUCAAUCUAAGCGGACUUAUCUUAUUGGAGAGACGACGUUGUAAUCAUCCUCCAAAGGUCGAGUAUCCACCGCAGCAGCGGCCUAAUUGCUGCCCAAACAGUAAUUGUUCGUCUGACAAGUGCAGCGAGAGAGCGUCGAUCGGACGCUACACAAAUGUCAGAUGUCCGCUCCAUGUCGGGACCGCACUGAGGUGGAUGAACCAGAGAUUCACGAGCUCGACGUAAGUGAAAGAAAAAUUGAGAGGUUACCAUCAAAGUGGCGCAUACGAUAUGGUGGAGGGUUUUAUGUUGUUGACUUUGAAAAACGGGAACCAUCGGUAGCUGAUCCACCCCCACAUUUGGUUGAAUCAAAACUAUGAAUUGUAUUU